rfam:Schistosoma curassoni strain Dakar, Senegal genome assembly, scaffold: SCTD_scaffold0000009
AUCCAGAUGACGAGUUUCAAAUAGGACGAAACGCAUGUCAAACUGGAU